AUUGAACGCUGGCGGCAUGCCUUACACAUGCAAGUCGAACGGCAGCACGGGUGCUUGCACCUGGUGGCGAGUGGCGAACGGGUGAGUAAUACAUCGGAACAUGUCCUGUAGUGGGGGAUAGCCCGGCGAAAGCCGGAUUAAUACCGCAUACGAUCUACGGAUGAAAGCGGGGGACCUUCGGGCCUCGCGCUAUAGGGUUGGCCGAUGGCUGAUUAGCUAGUUGGUGGGGUAAAGGCCUACCAAGGCGACGAUCGGUAGCUGGUCUGAGAGGACGACCAGCCACACUGGGACUGAGACACGGCCCAGACUCCUACGGGAGGCAGCGGUGGGGAAUUUUGGACAAUGGGCGAAAGCCUGAUCCAGCAAUGCCGCGUGUGUGAAGAAGGCCUUCGGGUUGUAAAGCACUUUUGUCCGGAAAGAAAUCCUUGGCUCUAAUACAGUCGGGGGAUGACGGUACCGGAAGAAUAAGCACCGGCUAACUACGUG
rnacentral:rRNA from 1 species